GAUGAAGAACGCAGCGAAAUGCGAUAAUUAAUGUGAAUUGCAGAAUUCAGUGAAUCAUCGAAUCUUUGAACGCACAUUGCGCCCGCCAGUAUUCUGGCGGGCAUGCCUGUCCGAGCGUCAUUUCAACCCUCGAACCCCUCCGGGGGGUCGGCGUUGGGGAUCGGCCCUGCCUCUUGGCGGUGGCCGUCUCCGAAAUACAGUGGCGGUCUCGCCGCAGCCUCUCCUGCGCAGUAGUUUGCACACUCGCAUCGGGAGCGCGGCGCGUCCACAGCCGUUAAACACCCAACUUCUGAAAUGUUGACCUCGGAUCAGGUAGGAAUACCCGCUGAACUUAAGCAUAUCAAUAAGCGGAGGA
rnacentral:misc_RNA from 1 species